UACGGAGGUGGCAAGCGUUGUUCGGAAUUACUGGGCGUAAAGGGCGCGUAGGCGGCAAGGCAAGUCAGGUGUGAAAGCCCCGAGCUUAACUCGGGAAUUGCAUCUGAAACUGCUGUGCUUGAGUUCUGGAGGGGGUAGUGGAAUUCCCAGUGUAGCGGUGAAAUGCGUAGAUAUUGGGAGGAACACCUGCGGCGAAGGCGGCUACCUGGACAGAAACUGACGCUGAGGCGCGAAAGCGUGGGGAGCGAACAGG
rnacentral:rRNA from 1 species